rnacentral:rRNA from 1 species
AUUGAACGCUGGCGGCAGGCCUAACACAUGCAAGUCGAGCGGAUGAAGGGAGCUUGCUCCUGGAUUCAGCGGCGGACGGGUGAGUAAUGCCUAGGAAUCUGCCUGGUAGUGGGGGAUAACGUCCGGAAACGGGCGCUAAUACCGCAUACGUCCUGAGGGAGAAAGUGGGGGAUCUUCGGACCUCACGCUAUCAGAUGAGCCUAGGUCGGAUUAGCUAGUUGGUGGGGUAAAGGCCUACCAAGGCGACGAUCCGUAACUGGUCUGAGAGGAUGAGCAGUCACACUGGAACUGGGACACGGUCCAGACUCCUACGGGAGGCAGCAGUGGGGAAUAUUGGACAAUGGGCGAAAGCCUGAUCCAGCCAUGCCGCGUGUGUGAAGGAGGUCUUCGGAUUGUAAAGCACUUUAAGUUGGGAGGAAGGGCAGUAAGUUAAUACCUUGCUGUUUUGACGGUACCAACAGAAUAAGCACCGGCUAACUUCGUG